UUUCGGGUUUUUCAAGCUUUUUCGUCAGAUCUAGAACGAUCCGACUGUUGGAUCGACGAUCCGAGACCACAUAUGGACUGAGGAAGAGGAGAGGAACAUGGUGGUAUGAUCAGAUUCGGCAAAUGUCACCGGCGACCGGCGGCCGGCCACCGUGCGUGGUGGUUUCGGCGGUGGCUCCGGUGGGCUAUGGAGAUUAUUCAACUUCCAGAGGCUUCCUCAUAAAUUUUUGGAAUUUUUGAGACACAGAUAAACUUCGGGUGAUCGAGGUCAGCUAUUUUUCUACAUCUAGCAGCCACAAUAGUCAUCGGUGUACUGCCACAGGAGGAGUUAUUUUACAGAGCAACCUGUUUUCUUCUUCGCAGGUUUAACGUCGAUUAUUUAAUUGUUUUACUAUCUUUUCUAAAUUUAAAAUCUAGAACUCCGCAUGUGUUAGUAAUAGUGUGGGCCUUGUUAGAAAUUGUGUUAAUUUAAAAUUUUGAGAUUAAUAAAUGAAGAUUUGUAUGGUAUUUAAAAA